rnacentral:ncRNA from 1 species
GACGGGCAACUAGAGCAUGUCGCCCGAAAGUGGGAACCGGUUUCGGGAAAACGACAUGCGUUGAAAUAAACGCUUGAAGCGCGUCGCAUGAUUCCGACUUGACGCGACGCGCUUUAGGCGCCGGCGCGGACGGCCGCCGGAGGGCAGCGGCCGCGCCACGGGUGAGGG